rnacentral:rRNA from 1 species
CAGCCGCCGCGGUAAUACAGAGGGUGCAAGCGUUGUCCGGAAUUAUUUGGCGUAAAGGGCUCGCAGGCGGUUUCUUAAGUCUGAUGUGAAAGCCCCCGGCUCAACCGGGGAGGGUCAUUGGAAACUGGGAAACUUGAGUGCAGAAGAGGAGAGUGGCAUUCCACGUGUAGCGGUGAAAUGCGUAGAGAUGUGGAGGAACACCAGUGGCGAAGGCGACUCUCUGGUCUGUAACUGACGCUGAGGAGCGAAAGCGUGGGGAGCGAACAGGAUUAGAUACCCCAGUAGUCCCUGUCUCUUAUAA